UGGGCAAUCUGCCCUUCACUCUGGGACAAGCCCUGGAAACGGGGUCUAAUACCGGAUAAUACUCCUGCAGGCAUCUGUGGGGGUUAAAAGCUCCGGCGGUGAAGGAUGAGCCCGCGGCCUAUCAGCUUGUUGGUGAGGUAGUGGCUCACCAAGGCGACGACGGGUAGCCGGCCUGAGAGGGCGACCGGCCACACUGGGACUGAGACACGGCCCAGACCUCCGUACGGGAGCAG
rnacentral:rRNA from 1 species